AAAUUGAAGAGUUUGAUCAUGGCUCAGAUUGAACGCUGGCGGCAGGCCUAACACAUGCAAGUCGAGCGGAAACGAAUUAUC
rnacentral:rRNA from 1 species